rnacentral:tRNA from 1 species
GGGAAGGUAGCUCAGUGGUAGAGUGCUUGCCUUGCAUGCAUGAGGCCCUGGGUUCAAUUCCCUAGCACCA